rnacentral:rRNA from 1 species
GAUGAACGCUGGCGGCGUGCUUAACACAUGCAAGUCGAACGAUGAUCUCCAGCUUGCUGGGGGGAUUAGUGGCGAACGGGUGAGUAACACGUGAGUAACCUGCCCUUGACUCUGGGAUAAGCCUGGGAAACUGGGUCUAAUACCGGAUAUGACUCCUCAUCGCAUGGUGGGGGGUGGAAAGCUUUUGUGGUUUUGGAUGGACUCGCGGCCUAUCAGCUUGUUGGUGGGGUAAUGGCCUACCAAGGCGACGACGGGUAGCCGGCCUGAGAGGGUGACCGGCCACACUGGGACUGAGACACGGCCCAGACUCCUACGGGAGGCAGCAGUGGGGAAUAUUGCACAAUGGGCGRAAGCCUGAUGCAGCGACGCCGCGUGAGGGAUGACGGCCUUCGGGUUGUAAACCUCUUUCAGUAGGGAAGAAGCGAAAGUGACGGUACCUGCAGAAGAAGCGCCGGCUAACUACGUGCCAGCAGCCGCGGUAAUACGUAGGGCGCAAGCGUUAUCCGGAAUUAUUGGGCGUAAAGAGCUCGUAGGCGGUUUGUCGCGUCUGCUGUGAAAGACCGGGGCUCAACUCCGGUUCUGCAGUGGGUACGGGCAGACUAGAGUGCAGUAGGGGAGACUGGAAUUCCUGGUGUAGCGGUGAAAUGCGCAGAUAUCAGGAGGAACACCGAUGGCGAAGGCAGGUCUCUGGGCUGUAACUGACGCUGAGGAGCGAAAGCAUGGGGAGCGAACAGGAUUAGAUACCCUGGUAGUCCAUGCCGUAAACGUUGGGCACUAGGUGUGGGGGACAUUCCACGUUUUCCGCGCCGUAGCUAACGCAUUAAGUGCCCCGCCUGGGGAGUACGGCCGCAAGGCUAAAACUCAAAGGAAUUGACGGGGGCCCGCACAAGCGGCGGAGCAUGCGGAUUAAUUCGAUGCAACGCGAAGAACCUUACCAAGGCUUGACAUGAACCGGAAAGACCUGGAAACAGGUGCCCCGCUUGCGGUCGGUUUACAGGUGGUGCAUGGUUGUCGUCAGCUCGUGUCGUGAGAUGUUGGGUUAAGUCCCGCAACGAGCGCAACCCUCGUUCUAUGUUGCCAGCGGUUCGGCCGGGGACUCA